rnacentral:rRNA from 1 species
AGAGACAGCAGUCGCCGCGGUAAUACGUAGGUGGCAAGCGUUGUCCGGAAUUAUUGGGCGUAAAGGGCUCGCAGGCGGUUUCUUAAGUCUGAUGUGAAAGCCCCCGGCUCAACCGGGGAGGGUCAUUGGAAACUGGGAAACUUGAGUGCAGAAGAGGAGAGUGGAAUUCCACGUGUAGCGGUGAAAUGCGUAGAGAUGUGGAGGAACACCAGUGGCGAAGGCGACUCUCUGGUCUGUAACUGACGCUGAGACGCGAAAGCCAGGGGAGCGAACGGGAUUAGAUACCCGCGUAGUCCCUGUCUCUUAUAC